GACGAACGCUGGCGGCGUGCUUAACACAUGCAAGUCGAACGGAAAGGCCUCAGCUUGCUGGGGUCCUCGAGUGGCGAACGGGUGAGUAACACGUGGGUGAUCUGCCUUGCACUCUGGGAUAAGCUUGGGAAACUGGGUCUAAUACCGGAUAUGAACUGCCUUUAGUGUGGUGGUUGGAAAGUUUUUUCGGUGCAAGAUGAGCUCGCGGCCUAUCAGCUUGUUGGUGGGGUAAUGGCCUACCAAGGCGUCGACGGGUAGCCGGCCUGGGAGGGUGUACGGCCACAAUGGGACUGAGGAACGGCCCAGACUCCUACGGGAGGCAGCAGUGGGGAAUAUUGGACAAUGGGCGGGAGGCUGAUGCAGCGACGCCGCGUGGGGGGUGACGGCCUUCGGGUUGGAAACUCCUUUCGACAGGGACGAAGCUUUUUGUGACGGUACCUGUAGAAGAAGCACCGGCUAACUACGUG
rnacentral:rRNA from 1 species